GGCGCGGUCGGCCGUUUGGUCUGUACUGCGUUGUCUUGACUUCCUGAUGAAGACAUGCUCUUGGUUAACGCUGAUACAUGGAGUCAUCGUGGUUACUUUGAAAAAAUUAGAGUGUUCAAAGCGGGCUUACGCUUGAAUAUAUUAGCAUGGAAUAACACUAUAGGACUCCUGUCCUAUCUCGUUGGUCUCGGGAUGGGAGUAAUGAUUAAGAGGAACAGUUGGGGGCAUUCGUAUUCCAUUGUCAGAGGUGAAAUUCUUGGAUUUAUGAAAGACGAACUUCUGCGAAAGCAUUUGCCAAGGAUGUUUUCAUUAAUCAAGAACGAAAGUUGGGGGCUCGAAGAUGAUUAGAUACCAUCCUAGUCUCAACCAUAAACGAUGCCGACUAGGGAUUGGUGGAUGUUAAUUGAUGACUUCACCAGCACCUUAUGAGAAAUCAAAGUUUUUGGGUUCCGGGGGGAGUAUGGUCGC
rnacentral:rRNA from 1 species